CCUACGAGGCGCAGCAGUGGGGAAUAUUGGACAAUGGGCGAAAGCCUGAUCCAGCCAUGCCGCGUGUGUGAAGAAGGCCUUCGGGUUGUAAAGCACUUUCAGUGGGGAAGAAAGCCUUGGGGCUAAUACCCUCGAGGAAGGACAUCACCCACAGAAGAAGCACCGGCUAACUCCGUGCCAGCAGCCGCGGUAAUACGGAGGGUGCGAGCGUUAAUCGGAAUUACUGGGCGUAAAGCGCGCGUAGGCGGUCUGAUAAGCCGGUUGUGAAAGCCCCGGGCUCAACCUGGGAACGGCAUCCGGAACUGUCAGGCUAGAGUGCAGGAGAGGAAGGUAGAAUUCCCGGUGUAGCGGUGAAAUGCGUAGAGAUCGGGAGGAAUACCAGUGGCGAAGGCGGCCUUCUGGACUGACACUGACGCUGAGGUGCGAAAGCGUGGGUAGCAAACAGGAUUAGAUACCCGAGUAGUC
rnacentral:rRNA from 1 species